rnacentral:tRNA from 1 species
UCCCUGGUGGCUCAGAUGGUAAAGCGUCUGCCUGCAAUGCGGGAGACCUGGGGUCAAUUCCUGGGUCGGGAA